rnacentral:rRNA from 1 species
GAGUGGAGCAAGCGUUAUCCGGAUUCAUUGGGCGUAAAGCGUCCGCAGAUGUCCUGAUAAGUUUUCGGUCAAAUCUCCCGGCUUAACCGGGAAACGAUCGGAAAAACUAUCUGGAUAGAGGAAGGAAGAGGAAAGUAGAAUUCAUGGUGUAGCAGUGACAUGCGUUGAUAUCAUGGAGGAUACCCAAAGCGAAGGCAUCUUUCUGGUCCUUUCCUGACAUUCAUGGACGAAAGCACGGGUAGCGAAUGGGUUUAGAUAUCCCAGUAGUCCGUGCCGUAAACGCUGGAUACUAGGCAUAGAGGGUUCGACCCCCCGCUGUGUCGUAAGCUAACGCGUUAAGUAUCCCGCCUGGGAAGUACGCCGCAAGGCUA